AAUGAACGCUGGCGGCGUGCUUAACACAUGCAAGUCGAACGAGAAAGGGAUUGCUUGCAAUCCUGAGUAGAGUGGCGCACGGGUGAGUAACACGUAGAUAAUCUACCUCCAAAACUGGGAUAACUAUUCGAAAGGGUAGCUAAUACCGGAUGAAGUUGCCAGGCAUAAGUCUGGUCAUGAAAGGUUGCCUCUUCUUGAAAGCAAUUGUUUGGAGAUGAGUCUGCGGACCAUUAGUUUGUUGGUGGGGUAAAGGCCUACCAAGACUACGAUGGUUAGCUGGUCUGAGAGGAUGAUCAGCCACACUGGAACUGACACACGGUCCAGACUCCUACGGGAGGCAGCAGUGAGGAAUUUUGCGCAAUGGGGGAAACCCUGACGCAGCAACGCCGCGUGGGUGAAGAAGGCCCUUGGGUCGUAAAGCUCUGUCGACAGGGAAGAAAUUACUUCAUAUUAAUAGUGUGUUGUAUUG
rnacentral:rRNA from 1 species